rnacentral:rRNA from 1 species
GACGAACGCUGGCGGCGCGCCUAACACAUGCAAGUCGAACGGAGAUAAGGAGGAGCUUGCUCCACCUUAUCUGAGUGGCGGACGGGUGAGUAACGCGUGAGUAACCUGCCUUAAAGAGGGGGAUAACGUCUGGAAACGGACGCUAAUACCGCAUAACAUAUUGUUUUCGCAUGGAGAUGAUAUCAAAGGAGCAAUCCGCUUUAAGAUGGACUCGCGUCCAAUUAGCUAGUUGGUGAGGUAACGGCCCACCAAGGCGACGAUUGGUAGCCGGACUGAGAGGUUGAACGGCCACAUUGGGACUGAGACACGGCCCAG